CUACACACACCUCAUCAGACUACUGACCCUACCCUGCUGUGGUCUGAGUGGGUCUCCUCUCCUCCAACCAGCUCAGGUCUGUGAUCUGUUGAAGGGUUUCAUCGUGGUGUUGUGUUACGUCAUGAUGAGCUACGUGGAUUACAGCAUGAUGUAUCACCUGAUCAGAGGACAGUCUGUCAUCAAACUCUAUAUUAUCUACAACAUGCUGGAGGUAGCAGACAGGCUGUUCUCUUCGUUUGGUCAGGACAUUCUGGACGCUCUCUACUGGACUGCUACAGAACCUAAAGAGAAGAAGAGAGCUCAUAUAGGAGUUGUUCCUCACUUCCUCAUGGCUGUUCUAUAUGUCUGUAUCCUUACUGAACCUAAAGAGAAGAAGAGAGCUCAUAUAGGAGUUGUUCCUCACUUCCUGUCUGUAUCCUUACUGAACCUAAAGAGGAGAAGAGAGCUCAUAUAGGAGUUGUUCCUCACUUCCUGUCUUUCUUCAUGCUAUCCUCAUCAUGGUCCAGGCCACUACUCUGAACGUUGCCUUCAACUCUCACAACAAGUCUCUACUCACCAUCAUGAUGUCAAACAAUUUCGUGGAGAUCAAAGGAAGUGUGUUUAAGAAGUUUGAGAAGAACAACCUCUUUCAGAUGUCUAACAGUGGUGAGUAUAACUACCCCUGACCUCUAACCUCUGACCUCUAACCUCUGACUUCUAACAACCUCUUUCAGAUGUCUAACAGUGGUGAGUAUAACUACCCCUGACCUCUAACCCUUGACCUCUAACCCCUUACCUCUGACUUCUAACAACCUCUUUCAGAUGUCUAACAGUGGUGAGUAUAACGACCCCUGACCUCUAACCUCUGACCUCUAACAACCUCUUUCAGAUGUCUAACAGUGGUGAGUAUAACUACCCCUGACCUCUGAC